rnacentral:rRNA from 1 species
UUGAAAGGGAAACGAUUGAAGUCAGUCGUACCGACGAGAAAUCAACUUAUCGUGUGCGAACUUGUGGGCGUGCGUGAGUUUCGGCCUCGCUGUUUGCAUGUUUGUGCGUUUUGGGUGUACUUUUUCGUAUGGUAGGCCAACGUCAGUUUCGAUUAUCAUAAAAUGACCGGCGGAAUGUAGCUUCGAUUUCGGUUGAAGUGUUAUAGCCUCUGGUAGAUGUGGUGAUUGAGACUGAGGAUUGCAACGAAUACCCUUUGGGCUAUCCGUCUGGCCUCUGAAAGUUGCUCAGGUGCCGAAAGCGUGCUUACGGUCAUCUAAGAUAACGUUCAACAGGUUAGAACGUGAUUACAUUCGUUAAGGAUGUUGAC